AUUGAACGCUGGCGGCAGGCCUAACACAUGCAAGUCGAGCGGCAGCGGGAAGUAGCUUGCUACUUUGCCGGCGAGCGGCGGACGGGUGAGUAAUGUCUGGGAAACUGCCUGAUGGAGGGGGAUAACUACUGGAAACGGUAGCUAAUACCGCAUAACGUCGCAAGACCAAAGAGGGGGACCUUCGGGCCUCUUGCCAUCAGAUGUGCCCAGAUGGGAUUAGCUAGUAGGUGGGGUAAUGGCUCACCUAGGCGACGAUCCCUAGCUGGUCUGAGAGGAUGACCAGCCACACUGGAACUGAGACGCGGUCCAGACUCCUACGGGAGGCAGCAGUGGGGAAUAUUGCACAAUGGGCGCAAGCCUGAUGCAGCCAUGCCGCGUGUAUGAAGAAGGCCUUCGGGUUGUAAAGUACUUUCAGCGGGGAGGAAGGUGUUGAGGUUAAUAACCUCAGCAAUUGACGUUACCCGCAGAAGAAGCACCGGCUAACUCCGUGCCAGCCGCCGCCGUAACAC
rnacentral:rRNA from 1 species